rnacentral:snoRNA from 1 species
GGAUCGAUGAUGACACCCACAAACGCAUUCCUUGGAAAAUCUGAACAAAAUGAGUGAGAACUCACUACGUCUCCUCAUCGCAAACUGAGGUCC